UACGGAGGGUGCAAGCGUUACUCGGAAUCACUGGGCGUAAAGGGAGCGUAGGCGGACUUUUAAGUGAGAUGUGAAAUACUCGGGCUCAACUUGAGUGCUGCAUUUCAAACUGGAAGUCUAGAGUGCAGGAGAGGAGAAUGGAAUUCCUAGUGUAGCGGUGAAAUGCGUAGAGAUUAGGAAGAACACCAGUGGCGAAGGCGAUUCUCUGGACUGUAACUGACGCUGAGGCUCGAAAGCGUGGGGAGCAAACAGG
rnacentral:rRNA from 1 species